rnacentral:rRNA from 1 species
AGAGUUUGAUCAUGGCUCAGAGUGAACGCUGGCGGCAUGCCUAACACAUGCAAGUCGAACGGUAACAGGCCCGCAAGGGUGCUGACGAGUGGCGGACGGGUGAGGAAUACAUCGGAAUCUGCCCGGUUGUGGGGGAUAACGUAGGGAAACUUACGCUAAUACCGCAUACGACCGAAAGGUGAAAGCGUGGGAUCCGCAAGGACCUCGCGCAGCCGGAUGAGCCGAUGUCGGAUUAGCUAGUUGGCGGGGUAAAGGCCCACCAAGGCGACGAUCCGUAGCUGGUCUGAGAGGAUGAUCAGCCACACUGGGACUGAGACACGGCCCAGACUCCUACGGGAGGCAGCAGUGGGGAAUAUUGGACAAUGGGGGCAACCCUGAUCCAGCAAUGCCGCGUGUGUGAAGAAGGCCUUCGGGUUGUAAAGCACUUUUAUCCGGAACGAAACGCGCAGGGUGAAUAGCCUUUGCGAACUGACGGUACCGGAGGAAUAAGCACCGGCUAACUUCGUGCCAGCAGCCGCGGUAAUACGAAGGGUGCAAGCGUUACUCGGAAUUACUGGGCGUAAAGCGUGCGUAGGUGGUUUGUUAAGUCUGCUGUGAAAGCCCCGGGCUCAACCUGGGAAUGGCAGUGGAUACUGGCAAGCUAGAGUGCGGUAGAGGGUAGUGGAAUUCCCGGUGUAGCGGUGAAAUGCGUAGAGAUCGGGAGGAACACCAGUGGCGAAGGCGGCUACCUGGACCAGCACUGACACUGAGGCACGAAAGCGUGGGGAGCAAACAGGAUUAGAUACCCUAGUAGUCC